AAACCAACAGGGAUUGCCCCAGUAAUGGCGAAUGAAGCGGCAAGAGCCCAAAUUUGAAAUCGGGCAACCGAGUUGUAAUUUGGAGACGGGACACUAGAGAGGAGGAAGGCGAUUAAGUGCCUUGGAACAGGCUGCCGUAGAGGGUGAGAGCCCCGUGAAUCGCUGGAGACCGAUCAAUUAGUGCCCGCCGAAGAGUCGAGUUGUUUGGGAAUGCAGCUCUAAGUGGGUGGUAUAUUCCAUCUAAGGCUAAAUAUUAGCGAGAGACCGAUAGCAAACAAGUACAGUGAUGGAAAGAUGAAAAGAACUUUGGAAAGAGAGUGAAAUAGUACGUGAAAUUGUUGAAAGGGAAGGGUAUUUGAUCCGACAUGGUGUUUAGCAGCGGCCCGUUCCUCGUGGAUGGGUGCACCUGGUUUACACUGGGCCAGCAUCGGUUCUGGGAGCCAUAUACGGGGUUCGUGAAUGUGGCCCUUCGAUUCUGUCGAAGGGUGUUAUAGCGCGGGCAUCUUGUGGCUAGCCGGGACCGGGGACUGCGGUGACUGUCACCAAG
rnacentral:rRNA from 1 species